AUUGAACGCUGGCGGCAGGCCUAACACAUGCAAGUCGAACGAGUGGCGGACGGGUGAGUAAUGUCUGGGAAACUGCCUGAUGGAGGGGGAUAACUACUGGAAACGGUAGCUAAUACCGCAUACCAUCGGAUGUGCCCAGAUGGGAUUAGCUAGUAGGUGGGGUAAAGGCUCACCUAGGCGACGAUCACUAGCUGGUCUGAGAGGAUGACCAGCCACACUGGAACUGAGACAGGGUCCAGACUCCUACGGUAGGCAUAAGUGGGUAAUAUUGCACAAUUGGCGCAAGCCUGAGGCAGCCAUGCCGCGGGUAUGAAGAAGGCCUUCGGGUUGUAAAGUACUUUCAGCGGGGAGGCGUUACUCGCAGAAGAAGCACCGGCUAACUCCGUGCCAGCAGCCGCGGUAAUAC
rnacentral:rRNA from 1 species